UACGGGGGGAGCAAGCGUUGUUCGGAUUUACUGGGCGUAAAGGGCGCGUAGGCGGCCACCGCAAGUCGACUGUGAAAUCUCCGGGCUUAACUCGGAAAGGUCAGCCGAUACUGCGGGGCUAGAGUGCAGAAGGGGCAACUGGAAUUCUCGGUGUAGCGGUGAAAUGCGCAGAUAUCAGGAGGAACACCGGUGGCGAAGGCGGGUCUCUGGGCCGAAACUGACGCUGAGGAGCGAAAGCGUGGGGAGCAAACAGG
rnacentral:rRNA from 1 species